rnacentral:rRNA from 1 species
UCCUUGUUGAUCCCCCCGGAGGUUACUGCUAUCGGUGUUCGCCUACCCCAUGCGAGUCAUAUGUUCUUCGUGAACAUGGCGUACUGCUCAGUAACACGUGAAUAACCUGCCCUUGGGACCGGCAUACCCCCGGGAAACUGGGGAUAAUUCCGGAUACCGCAUAUAUGCUGGAAUGCUUUAUGCGUGAAAUGGAUUCGUCUGCCCAAGGAUGGGUCUGCGGCCUAUCAGGAAGUAGGGGGUGUAAUGUACCUACUACCCUACAACGGGUACGGGUUGUGAAAGCAAAACCCCGGAAAUGGAUUCUGAAACAUGAAUCCAGGCCCUACGGGGCGCAGCAGGCGCAAAAACUUUACAAUGCGGGAAACCGUGAUAAGGGGGCACCAAGUGCCACCAACAUUUGUUGGCUGUCCAGGUGUGUAAACUACACCUGUUAGCAAGGGCCGGGCAAAACCGGUGC